GAUAGGGAGUGUUUCUUUGAAGUCACGAAUACUUGCUAGCUACAGAACUACUUGCACAAUCACUGUCUUAGUCUUCAUCAUAGGAUCAGUGAGUUAGCAAUGGAUGUGUCACCACUUAAGAAGAGAAAAAAAAGAGGACAACAGUUUUUUCAUUGGAGUGUAAGGACUACCAUGCCUCAGGACUACCUGGCCUGAUAACUCCUUGCUGUCCCCUGUCCACCUGGUCGUGGUAGUGCUCCAGUUUCAACUGUUCUGCCUGUGGCUAUGGAACCCUGACCUGUUCACCCUGACGUGCUACCUGUCCCAGACUUGCUGUUUUCAACUCUCUAGAGACCACAGAAGUGAUAGAGAUACUCUGAAUGAGCGGCUAUUAAAAUCCAACUGACAUUUACUACUGAGGAGCUGACCUGUUGCACCCUCGACAACCAAUGUGAUUAUUAUUAUUUUACCUUGCUGGUCAUCUAUGAACAUUUGAACAUCUUGGCCAUUUUCUGUUAUAAUCUCCACCCGGCACAGCCAGAAGAGGACUGGCCACCCCUCAUAGCCUGGUUCCUGUUUUUUUCCUAGGUUCUGGCCUUUCUAGGAAGUUUUUCCUAGCCACCGUGCUUCUACAACUCCAUUGCUUGCUGUUUGGGGUUUUAGGCUGGGUUUCUGUACAGCACUUUGUGACAUCAGCUGAUGUAAGAAGGGCUUUAUAAAUACAUUUGAUUGAUUGAAGGCCUGCGGGCAUUCAACUUGCAAUAGUUGAUAUUGUUUCCACAGUAACUUGUACACUGUAUAUCCAUGAUGUGAUGAAACAUUGAAACUAAGUUGCAAGCUACUUUUGCAGCAACGCAUUGUGGAACAAGUGUUAUACAAAAGCACAUUUCAGACACUGGCUCAUGCUAUCUUGCCAUAACUGAUUUGUCAGAGAAAUACACCACAUGACCAAACGUAUGUGGACACCUUGCUUUGUGCACGGGGGCAUUGUCAUGCUGAAACAGAAAAGGGCCUUCCCAAAACUGUUGCCACAAAGUUGGAAGCACAGAAUUGUCUAGCAUGUCAUUGUAUGUUGUAGCGUUAAGAUUUCACUUGAUUCCACUGGAACUAAGGGGCCUAGUCCGUACCAUGAAAAACCGCCCCAGGCCAUUAUUCCUCCUCCACCAAACUUUAUGGUUGGCACUAUGCAUUGGGGCAGGUAGCGUUCUCCUGGCAUCCACCAAAACUAGAUUCUUCUGUCAUUUCAUUAAGCGCCCGACGAACAUUUUGGAAAUCAGUAGUGAGUUUUGCAACCGAGGACAGAUGAUUUGUAUGCGCUAAGCACUUUGUUGCUCCUAGACGUUUCCACGUCACAAUAACAGCACUUACAGUUGACCAGGGCAGCUCUAGCAGGACAUGAGUGCAGUGGCCGAUAUAAACGUAAUGAGUGCAGUGCUAGAUAAAAACCUAAACAGUAUGAAGUAGAAAAUAUCUUGAACUGCCACCGUUUCAUUUGAAACAGAAAUGUGGCUCAGUAUAUGGACACUUUCAAAGUAUUUUUGGCAGAAGGGAAAUGGAAACUGACACGGGCAAAAUAUAACUCCUAAAUCCCAUGAAGAUCAAUAUUGGGAUCAAUAUCAAGUUUGAGGCUAAGAGCACUGAUCCGCAGAGCAAGGUUGACCUCUGUCAUUUUUAAAGACCAAAGAGUAAGCUCAGGUGUUACACUGUAGAACUGUGAGGCGGUCAAACAGUAUCCAUCAAGAUCAUCCGUUAAUAAAUGAAAGAUUACUAUAUGACUGAAGUAAUAACCGCCUUCAAUCUGAUUCAGAACCUUUUUUUAGCUGGAAUAUUUAUGAAUAUAGUAUAUAAUUUCAUAAAAAUAAAUUAACUACAAUAUUGUUGCUUAUCAAAGAAUAUAUCCAUAAUAUCUGUGUGAAUAUCAUAUUAUGAUAUCAUAAUAUGAUACAGUGUAGGGUGGCAGGGCGGCAGGGUAGCCUAGUGGUUAGAGCGUUGGACUAGUAACCGAAAGGUUGCAAGUUCGAAUCCCAGAGCUGACAAGGUACAAAUCUGUCGUUCUGCCCCUGAACAGGCAGUUAACCCACUGUUCCUAGGCCGUCAUUGAAAAUAAGAAUUUGUUCUUAACUGACUUGCCUAGUAAAAUAAAAAAAUUGCUACCAUUUAAAGGGAAUUUAAUGAGAUUAAAACUAGUAUUGAUGUCAUUCCUAAUGUCAAAUCAACUCUCUUGUGGAAAUUGAAACCUAUUUGAUCAGUAGACUAUAGAUCAUGAAUAUCAUAGUGCCCUUGCUAUUGAUUUUAAUCAAUAAUGUUGCAUAUUAGGCUAUGGUCGAGUCAAUAUAAUUAAUCAAGGUUCUUGAAAAAUAUAAUUUAAGGUCAUAAGGUAUUCACAUUAAUGUGACGGUUGCAUGAUCCCUUUCAGAUCUGUGUUUUAGGUUCGGUCAAACUUUGAAUUCCUUGACAGUUUUCUGUUCAUGCUAAUUCACCAGGAGAGCAGGGUGUGAUUAGGUUACUGUACUGAAUCAUGUCAGCAACAUCACAGUCAGUUGCUACAAUACAUCUAAUCCCAUAUUCAUAUUAUUUAUUUGAUCAUUUUUGUCACUUCAAUCCCUCAUAAUCCAGGAGCUUGGCACCUGAAUUGUAAUAGGUAAGUGGUACCCUACUGUAAUGUCUAAGAUGCCAGUGCAUUGCGUGUCAUGCUCUUGGUCAAUAUGACCAGCAGGCCAUUGGGCUCAUGGACCAGACGGUCUCUGUGGUUAUACUAACUAACCAAGUGAAAGCAUGCAGCAGGGAUAUCAUGCACAUUGGUCAGCUAUUAUCCAGACAGAUUUCUAUUUUUGACAUUUUGCAGGAUCUCUUGAGAUGCACAAUCUCGUUUUCAAGAGUGUCCAAAUGAGACAAACGAAACAAACAAACAAUACUUAAUAACAAUCAUAUUAUGGCAACUACUGCCUAAUAACAAUAAUAACAACAAUUAAAUAAUAAUAUUAACAAUACAAAUAAAAAACGUAGAGCAUGAAAGGUUUUGUACAAUUAAUAAAAACUACUACAACUACUAAAACGACGAAUAAAUCGAAGUACCUAUAAUAUAUACAUACUUACAUAUAGUACUUACAAAUAUCUUCACAUGGUGAUGUUUAUUAAAACACAAACAGUUUGUUCUUAACAUUUGAAAAAGUGUUUUCUUAAAUUCACUGUGUGAUUUUAAUGCCCUGAUUUCUAUAGGUAAAUGAUUCCAGUCAGGUCUUUGUAUCUUAAAGACCGUACUCCAACCUCAUGAUGUACCCAUUGAAUUUAUGAUUGCUGCUGUUGUUGAAAGGAGUAGUUGCCAUAUUAUUACAGAUAUUGUUAUGUAGGCCUAAUUCAACUCCAGCUCCGGCUCCAGUGCUAAAUGAGAGCUAAAAUGAACAAUAGGCAAUGCUUUAAUAAGCAAUUUCUUGGUCAUAGUUUAUGGAUUAUGUUUAAUAUCAUUGAAGUGUGUCAUAGAUAGUUUUAAUUGCACGAAUGCACUGCAACCAGCGCAUGACAUUUCUCACUCACACAGCAAAUUUGCGAUCAGAAUUUGUUCUGGACCUGGACACUGUGAAGAGACCUCUGGUUGCAUGUCUUGUGUUGUACCGAUGAGUGUCCGAACUGUGCGCUAACUGCUUGAACAGAGGUACCUUCAACACAUCAAUGCCUCGCAUAAAGACCAAUAGUGAUGCAGACAAUUUCUCCUCAACUUUGAGCCAGGAGAGAGACAUGCAUGUUACUGACACUUUCCCCCUGUGCACAUAUAAGUGCGAUACAUGCUGCUUUGUUCUGAACCAACUGCAAUUGACCUAUGUCCUUCUUUGCCACACAUGACCAGACAGCUGGGCAGUAGUCCACAUGUGACAAAACUAGGGCCUGUAGAACCUGUCUGGUUGACUGAGAUGUCAAGAAGGCAGAGCAACGCCCUGUCAUGGACAGACCUCUUCCCAUUUUAGAAACCAUUGAGUCGAUAUGUUUUGACUAUGACAGCUUGCUAUAUAGGGUUACAAGCAGCUUGCUCAAUAGCAACAUUGUUAAUUAAUAGAUAUAAUUAGGUUUGCGUUGAGCGAGUGAUUUGUCCCAAAAAAGAUGCUUUUAGUUUUUGAGAUAUUUCGCACCGGACUGUUGCUAUAGUUACCCAUUCUAAAACUGACUGGAGAUCUAAGUUAAGUGCCUCAGUUAUUUUGUCAGGCUUUAUUCAAGGUCAGUGGAAAGUCAUUUGUAAAAACAGAAAACAAAAAUGUCCCUAGCCGGUACACCACACUCAACUGAAUUUGAAUGAGAGAGGCUUCCAUUAACGAAACGCCUCUGUGUUCUAUUACACUGAACAAAAACGCAACAUGUAAAGCUCUGGUUCCAUGUUUCAUGAGCUGAAAUAAAAGAUCCCAGAAAUGUUCCAUAUGCACAAAUAUCUUAUUUCCCUUAGAUUCUGUGACACGGUUAGCUUUUAACAGCGAGGAUGGCUAUUUCUUGUCCCGGAAUCUUAACUGACAGGUUAAAGUCUGCUUGAAAGAAAAUGAACGGUUCCAGCUCUGUAGGAGCUGUAUCUACUACGCUUUGUUUCGGGACAAACUGGAUCACUCGGAGUUCCAAUGCGGCAAUUGUUUGCUUGGCGAGGAUUAUAGGCUUGAGGUGGCUUCGUUGAUCACACAGGUCGCCAGCCUACGUAAGAAACUGGGGAAAACGCAGAGUGGAAUGUUAAUCUUUUCUACACUGGUGGCUGGACGGCGUUCAUAUUAUGACUAUCUCAAACUCACUUGGACAAUACCUUUGAUGAUACAGUGGUAGCAAUACAAGGUUAUAACAUAUACAGAAAAGACAGAAAUGCCAGUGGUGGAGGUUUUGCUGUUUAUAUUCAAAACCACAUUCCUGUAAAGAUUAGAGAGGAUCUCGAGUUAAAUACUGUUGAAGAAAUAUGGCUACAGUUUAAUCUGUCUCACCUAAAGUCCAUUAUUCUGGGAAGCUGCUAUAGACCACCAAGUGCUAACAGUCAGUAUCUGGAUAACAUGUGUGAAAUACUUGAUAAUGUAUGUGAUAUCAACAGAGAGGUAUAUUUUCUGGGUGAUUUAAAUAUUGACUGUCUUUCAUCAAGCCUCUUGUUCAGCUCAGGUGUUUGGCGUUGCCGACCUUCUAGCUGCUGCCAAACCCGCUGCUGGAAAACGCCCUUUGCUCAUCAACCCCGGACUUGUCUCGUCAUCAUUACACACACCUGGUUCCAAUCCCCACUUUUUCACGGUAUAUCUACUCCCUCUGUCAUUUGUCUUUGUCGGUCAUUGUAAAUGUUGCUUGUUUUCCUGAGAGGAAUCUCUCCUACUCUUUCCUGAGUACUUUAUUAUUUUGCACUUUGGGUUUCGUCUCGCUUUUAUUAUGGUGCUUUAAUAAAUUCAGUAUUUCUGAACUGGCGACUGCCUCCUGCCUACUCCUCUCUACGCUUGUGACACCGGGGCUGAACCUGUUUUUAAUUCCAUUUUCUUUAUGGGAGCGUGUUUGUUAACAAUAUCACUGAAAAUAUUAAAAAAGAAGGUCCAAGCGUGUUCAACAGAGGGGAUCAAGCUGAUUCUAUACCAUUUUACAGAGGACAGUUCAUGAAGGAAGGCAUGCUCAUUAGCACCAGAUGGGACUGUUUUAGGUUUUCUCACGUUUGUUGUUUUUGUUAGUUAUCUCAUGUGUAGUGUCUUUAUAAAUUAAAGAACAUGAAUAACCA